CCCAUACUCGGGCGAGCCUGAUCAGCCAUGCCGCGUGUGUGAAGAAGGUCUUCGGAUUGUAAAGCACUUUAAGUUGGGAGGAAGGGCAGUAAGUUAAUACCUUGCUGUUUUGACGUUACCGACAGAAUAAGCACCGGCUAACUCUGUGCCAGCAGCCGCGGUAAU
rnacentral:rRNA from 1 species